GGAAACGAGUGCGACCCUCCCUCUGUCCCCUCCUCAGGUGGAUGGCAUACUAGAAAACUGGAUCUGGCAGAUGGUGGCCGCGCUGAAGUCUCAGCCGGCCCAGCCAGUGAACGUGGGGCUGGUGGACUGGAUCACCCUGGCCCACGACCACUACACCAUCGCCGUCCGCAACACCCGCCUUGUGGGCAAGGAGGUCGCGGCUCUUCUCCGGUGGCUGGAGGAAUCUGUUCAGUUCUCUCGAAGCCAUGUUCACCUAAUUGGGUACAGCCUGGGUGCACACGUGUCAGGAUUUGCCGGCAGUUCCAUCGGUGGAACGCGCAAGAUUGGGAGAAUCACAGGGCUGGAUGCCGCGGGACCUUUGUUUGAGGGAAGUUCCCCCAGCAAUCGUCUUUCUCCAGAUGACGCCAAUUUUGUGGAUGCCAUUCAUACCUUUACCCGGGAGCACAUGGGCCUGAGCGUGGGCAUCAAACAGCCCAUAGGACACUAUGACUUCUAUCCCAACGGGGGCUCCUUCCAGCCUGGCUGCCACUUCCUAGAGCUCUACAGACAUAUUGCCCAGCACGGCUUCAAUGCCAUCACCCAGACCAUAAAAUGCUCCCACGAGCGAUCAGUGCACCUUUUCAUCGACUCCUUGCUGCACGCCGGCACGCAGAGCAUGGCCUACCCGUGUGGUGACAUGAACAGCUUCAGCCAGGGCCUGUGCCUGAGCUGCAAGAAGGGCCACUGCAACACACUGGGCUACCACGUCCGCCAGGAGCCGCGGAGCAAGAGCAAGAGGCUCUUCCUCGUAACGCGAGCCCAGUCCCCCUUCAAAG
rnacentral:sRNA from 1 species